rnacentral:piRNA from 2 species
AAUUGAACUCAGGACCUCUGGAAGAG